rnacentral:rRNA from 1 species
GACGUAGGGCGCGAGCGUUGUCCGGAUUUAUUGGGCGUAAAGAGCUCGUAGGCGGCUUGUCGCGUCGUCCGUGAAAACUCGGGGCUCAACCCCGAGCCUGCAGUCGAUACGGGCAGACUAGAGUGCGGUAGGGGAGACUGGAAUUCCUGGUGUAGCGGUGAAAUGCGCAGAUAUCAGGAGGAACACCAACGGCGAAGGCAGCUCGCUGGGACGGUAGCUGACGCUAAGGCGCGAAAAGCGUGGGGAGCGAACGACGGAGUU